rnacentral:rRNA from 1 species
AUUGAACGCUGGCGGCAUGCCUUACACAUGCAAGUCGAACGGUAACGCGGGGCAACCUGGCGACGAGUGGCGAACGGGUGAGUAAUACAUCGGAACGUGCCCAGUAGUGGGGGAUAGCCCGGCGAAAGCCGGAUUAAUACCGCAUACGACCUACGGGUGAAAGCGGGGGAUCGCAAGACCUCGCGCUAUUGGAGCGGCCGAUGUCAGAUUAGCUAGUUGGUGGGGUAAAGGCCUACCAAGGCGACGAUCUGUAGCUGGUCUGAGAGGACGACCAGCCACACUGGGACUGAGACACGGCCCAGACUCCGACGGGAGGCAGCAGUGGGGAAUUUUGGACAAUGGGGGCAACCCUGAUCCAGCCAUGCCGCGUGCGGGAAGAAGGCCUUCGGGUUGUAAACCGCUUUUGUCGGGGAAGAAACGGUCUGCGCUAAUACCGCGGACUAAUGACGGUACCCGAAGAAUAAGCACCGGCUAACUACGUGCCAGCAGCCGCAGUAA